UAUUGAACGAGACAACAAGUCCAACAACUGUAGUCCCCAACUUGAGUACUACAGAGGCCACUCAACAAACAACCAUCAGUGCUACACCAGCUCCAACAACAGAGACUACAGCAGCUACUUCGACCACUUCAGGAAACACAACGUUUGUUCUUGUCUCAGCUGUCUUGAAUACACCAUAUGAACCACAACUCAAUGAUAGCAACAGUGUUGAGUUCAAGACUCUUGAAACAGAAGUUGUACAAAUUUGGGACAUCGUCUACAGUGCAAGAUAUUAUUAUCUUUUCGUCCGUGCCUAUGUCAUAGAAUUCAGACAAUAUGUCACAACAACAACAACAGAGACUCUUACUGAAGUAGAAGUGGUGGUUGAGUUCAAUGACCAUGCUGCACCUGGACAAACCCCACAGGCUAGUGAUGUGGCAAAAACAUUAGCAAAUGCUGUGUCCAAUCCCAACAACAACUUCAACCUCACUGUUGAUCCCACUACCAUCCAAGCAGUGGGUAAGUGAACAGUUGCCUUUAAUGUUAAACCAAGAGCCCUAACAAACAGGAAAUCACUCAGACACUUUAUUUUGAGUGUUUUUCUUUGUUUGCCAUUGUUGUUGAGUCUCCAGCUCAUGUGUCGUUAUGAGGGUUUACUGUAUGUGGUACAGAUUAUGUGGUAUGGUUUCAAUGCGUAGAACUAUCAAAGGUUGACUGUGAAGAUUCUGCUAUCAAUGCCAGUCCAAUAACAAAUUUAAUAAUAAUUCUUUUCUUUGCGCCUUCUGAAAGGAUGGAUGGGUCAGCAAAGACCACGUAAAAGCAUGAGCAGGACUUUAAGCACAUGUACAUAGAAAUCUACUGAUUACUACACUUUAUUUCCCCCAAUCUACAUGGUGUCAUCCUUGUGCUUUUGCAGUAUUGAACGAGACAAUAAGUCCAACAACUGCAGUCCCCAAGUUGACUACUACAGAAACUACUCAACAAACAACCAUCAGUGCUACACCUGCUCCAACGACAGAGACUACAGUGACAACAACAAGUUCUCCAACAACACAAAGUGCUUCUCCCACAGCAGGAAAUUCCACAAUACCUCCUGAAACAUUUGCUACAACAUCUCAAGCAAUCACACCUGGAACGUCAAAUACACCAAUAUUGACAACUGCAGCACCAACAACAGUUGCAGUAUCAUCAAGUUUUACUUCAGCCACUGCAGAGGUAACAGUAACAUCCUCAGCGGCAUCAACCUCUGCUUCAUCAACAACAACUACAACAACAAACACUGGUGCUUCUACAACUGUGGAAUUAACAACUGCUGAAAGAGGACCAACCUCUGGAAUUUCAGUGUCAUCUACUAGUUUGAUUGUGUCAACUACUAAUACAAAAAUUACGUUCCCCACUAUUACUACAAAUCAUACUACUACAAGUCCUACUAAUCCAGCUACUACUCCUACUACUAUUACUACUACGACUACAACUUCUACUACUUCUACAAUUCCUAAUACUAUUGCCCCUAUCACUCAUACUACGUCUUCAACUACAACUUCUACUACUCCUACUACUACUACUACUACUACUACUACUACUUCUACUUCCACCACCACCACAACGACGUUGACUCCCCCAGCAGUUGUACUUGUCACAGCAGUUUUGGUUGUACCAUUUACAUCACAACUCACUGACAGCAACAGCAUUGAAUUCAAAACUCUGGAACUACAAGUUGUUACAAUUUGGGACGUCAUCUACCGGGCAAGUUUUGGUGUUCGGUUUCUUCGUUCAUAUGUCAUACAAUUUAGAGAAGCUGUUACCAUAACCAAAUCAGCCAAUACUGAAGCAGAUGUGGGAAUUGUGUUUAAUACUACAGUAGACCAGGUCCCACCCACUAAUGAUGUGGCAAAUCAGUUAGUAAUGGCUUUGUCCAACCCCAACAACACCUACAACCUUACUAUUGUUCCUUCAUCUGUCGCAGCAGUUUAUUUAAAUCCAACAACAAAUGCAACAACAGUGCCACCUACACUGAACAGCACCACAGGUGUACAAGUGUACACAGCCACCAGUGGUACAUCGGGGCCUACUACAACUACUGCUGCUGUUGUGGCAUUUACAAAAAAGAGUCUUAUUUUCAAAUCUAAGGAGACAUUUACUAGUGACUUGAAUAAUCCAUCAUCCACAGCAUAUACAAAUCGAGCCUUCGUGAUAACAACAACACUUACUUCCUUCUAUCAAAACGCAUUUGAUUCCUUUAAGUUCUUGCAAGUGACUGAAUUCAGUAAUGGUUCCAUUAACAACAAACUGGAACUUAGUUUUGAUUCUGCAUCUGCUCCCAACGACACUGCGAUUGGGAACGUUUUGAUCCGAGCAGCUCCAAACAUCACCGCCUUUAAUAUUGACAUCACAUACAUUUUUGUGGAUGGCACUCAAGUGUCAAGUGGAAUAAGCCAGAGGAUCAGUGUCCUUACUGCAACCUGCCUUGUGCUUCUGUCAUGGCUGCUAUCAAACCAGUAA
ensembl:lncRNA mucin-2-like